ACCAUCAUCAACACAAAAUUGCCUUGAAAGUUCUCCAACAGCUCUGGCAGCUAGGCUUGCAUGUUCUCCAAACUCAGCUGCUGCUUGAGCAGCAGAGGUAGCAUCCUUUAAUUUCAUGUUCCAAUUCUGCUUGCUAACAGAAAAAUUACCAUUACCAUCUCAAGGAAAUGAUUGCCCAUGUUCCAACCUUUCAUCCUUGAAACCUAAGUGGCAUGAACCGCCAUCAUCAACACAAUAUUUCCUUGAAAGUUCUACGACAGCUCUUGCCGCUAGGCUUGCAUAUUCUGCUAACUCAGUCGCUACUUGAGCAGCUGAGGUAGCAUCCUUAAAUUUCAUGUUCCAAUUCUGCUUGCCAACAGAAAAAUUGCCAUUACCAUCUCUAGGAAAUGCUUGCCCAUGUUCAAAACUUUCAUCGUUGAAACCUAAGUGGCAUGAACCACCAUCAUCA
rnacentral:lncRNA from 1 species